rnacentral:rRNA from 1 species
GACGAACGCUGGCGGCGUGCCUAAUACAUGCAAGUUGAGCGCUGAAGGUUGGUACUUGUACCAACUGGAUGAGCAUCGAACGGGUGAGUAACGCGUGGGGAAUCCGCCUUUUAGCGGGGGACAACAUUUGGAAACGAAUGUUAAUAUCGCAUAAAAACUUUAAACACAAGUUCUAAGUUUGAAAAAAGCAAUUGCAUCACUCAAAGAUGAUCCCGCGUUGUAUUAGCUAGUUGGGGGGGUAAAGGCUCACCAAGGCGAUGAUACAUGGCCGACCUGAGAGGGUGAUCGGCCAAAUUGGGACUGAGACACGGCCCGAACUCCUACGGGAGGCGGAAGUAGGGAAUCUUCGGCAAUGAACGAAAGUCUGACGGAGAAACGCCGCGUGAGUGAAGAAGGUUUUCGGAUCGAAAACCUCUGUUGGUAGAGAAGAACGUUGGUGAGAGUGGAAAGCUAAUCAAGGGACGGAAACGACCCAGAAGGGGACGGUUAACUACGU